GUGCUUGCUUCAGCAGCACAUGUACUAAAAAUUGGAUAUAGAGAAGAUUAGCAUGGCCCCUGCGCAAGGAUGACACUCAAAUACAUAAAGCAUUCUAAAACGAA